rnacentral:rRNA from 1 species
UACAGAGGUGGCAAGCGUUGUCCGGAAUUAUUGGGCGUAAAGAGCUCGUAGGCGGUCUGUCGCGUCUGCUGUGAAAACUCGGGGCUUAACCCCGGGCCUGCAGUGGGUACGGGCAGACUAGAGUGCGGUAGGGGAGACUGGAAUUCCUGGUGUAGCGGUGAAAUGCGCAGAUAUCAGGAGGAACACCGGUGGCGAAGGCGGGUCUCUGGGCCGUAACUGACGCUGAGGAGCGAAAGCAUGGGGAGCGAACAGG